rnacentral:rRNA from 1 species
GACGAACGCUGGCGGCGUGCUUAACACAUGCAAGUCGAACGGAAAGGCCCUGCUUUUGUGGGGUGCUCGAGUGGCGAACGGGUGUGUAACACGUGAGUAACCUGCCCUUUACUUUGGGAUAACUUCAGGAAACUGGGGCUAAUACCGGAUAUGAUCUCCUGCUGCAUGGUGGGGGUUGGAAAGUUUCGGCGGUUGGGGAUGGACUCGCGGCUUAUCAGCUUGUUGGUGGGGUAGUGGCUUACCAAGGCUUUGACGGGUAGCCGGCCUGAGAGGGUGACCGGCCACAUUGGGACUGAGAUACGGCGCAGACUCCUACGGGAGGCAGCAGUGGGGAAUAUUGCACAAUGGGCGGAAGCCUGAUGCAGCAACGCCGCGUGCGGGAUGACGGCCUUCGGGUUGUAAACCGCUUUCGCCUGUGACGAAGCGUGAGUGACGGUAAUGGGUAAAGAAGCACCGGCUAACUACGUG